rnacentral:rRNA from 1 species
UACGGGGGGGGCAAGCGUUGUUCGGAAUUACUGGGCGUAAAGGGCUCGUAGGCGGCCAACUAAGUCCGACGUGAAAUCCCCAGGCUUAACCUGGGAACUGCGUCGGAUACUGGAUGGCUUGAAUUCGGGAGAGGGAUGCAGAAUUCCAGGUGUAGCGGUGAAAUGCGUAGAUAUCAGGAGGAACACCGAUUGCGAAGGCAGCUCGCUGGGACGUAACUGACGCUGAGACGCGAAAGCGUGGGGAGCAAACAGG